rnacentral:rRNA from 1 species
UACGUGUGAGGCAAGCGUUAUUCGGCAUUAAUGGGUCUAAAGGGUACGUAGGCGGUAUAAAGAAUCUUAAAAUAAAUCACAUAAUAGUGAAUAAGAAAUUAAUAUACUAGAGUUAAAAGGGAGUAACAGACACGACAAGAGAAGUGUAUCAAUACAAAUAUACUUGAUGGGUCGCAAAGCGGCGAAGGCGUGUUACUAAGUAAGACUGACGCUGAGGUACGAAGGCAUGGGUAUCGAUCGGG